rnacentral:rRNA from 1 species
GGAUUCCCCUAGUAACUGCGAGUGAAGAGGGAAGAGCUCAAAUUUAAAAUCUGGCGGGUCUUGCAUCUGCUCGAGUUGUAGUCUAGAGAAGUGUUAUCCGCGCCAGGGUCUGUGUAUAAGUUUCUKGGAACAGAACAUCAUAGANGGGUGAUAAUCCCGUCUUUGGCACAGACUUUUGACUGGGGCUUUUGUGAUGCACACUCGAAGAGUCGAGUUGUUUGGGAAUGCAGCUCUAAAUGGGUGGUAAAUUCCAUCUAAAGCUAAAUAUUGGCGAGAGACCGAUAGCGAACAAGUACCGCGAGGGAAAGAUGAAAAGAACUUUGAAAAGAGAGUUAAACAGUACGUGAAAUUGUUGAAAGGGAAACGCUUGAAGUCAGAUACAUUAUUGCAGAGAUCAACUUGACAUGUAUUUGUUGAGUGCAUUCUCUGUUUGAGAUGGGUCAGCAUCAAUCUUGACUGCUGGAUAAAGAUCUUGGGAAAGUGACAUCCUUCGGGAUGUGUUAUAGACCAGGGUUUCUGAUAUACAGUGGUUNGGGAUUGAGGAACUCAGCAUGAGCCCCUUUNGGGUUGUGGGGGCANUUUCNUUUGCCUACACNUUUUGCAUGCUUAGGAUGCUGGCAUAAUGGCNUUUAAUCGACCCGUCUUGAAACACGGACCAAGGAGUCUAACGUGCCUGCGAGUAUUUGGGUGGAAAACCCUUAUGCGCAAUGAAAGUGAAAAGUUGAGAUCUCUGUCAUGGAGAGCAUCGACGCCCGGACCAAAGCCUUUGUGCGAUGGCUCUGCGGUAGAGCAUGUAUGUUGGGACCCGAAAGAUGGUGAACUAUGCCUGAAUAGGGUGAAGCCAGAGGAAACUCUGGUGGAAGCUCGUAGCGAUUCUGACGUGCAAAUCGAUCGUCGAAUUUGGGUAUAGGGGCGAAAGAC